ACGCUGGCGGCAGGCUUAACACAUGCAAGUCGAACGGUAACAGGAGAAAGCUUGCUUUCUUGCUGACGAGUGGCGGACGGGUGAGUAAUGCUUGGGAAUCUGGCUUAUGGAGGGGGAUAACGACGGGAAACUGUCGCUAAUACCGCGUAGAGUCGAGAGACGAAAGUGCGGGACCGCAAGGCCGCAUGCCAUAGGAUGAGCCCAAGUGGGAUUAGGUAGUUGGUGGGGUAAUAGCCUACCAAGCCGACGAUCUCUAGCUGGUCUGAGAGGAUGACCAGCCACACCGGGACUGAGACACGGCCCGGACUCCUACGGGAGGCAGCAGUGGGGAAUAUUGCGCAAUGGGGGCAACCCUGACGCAGCCAUGCCGCGUGAAUGAAGAAGGCCUUCGGGUUGUAAAGUUCUUUCGGUAUUGAGGAAGGUUGUUGUGUUAAUAGCACGACAAAUUGACGUUAAAUACAGAAGAAGCACCGGCUAACUCCGUGCCAGCAGCCGCGGUAAUACGGAGGGUGCGAGCGUUAAUCGGAAUAACUGGGCGUAAAGGGCACGCAGGCGGACUUUUAAGUGAGGUGUGAAAUCCCCGGGCUUAACCUGGGAAUUGCAUUUCAGACUGGGAGUCUAGAGUACUUUAGGGAGGGGUAGAAUUCCACGUGUAGCGGUGAAAUGCGUAGAGAUGUGGAGGAAUGCCGAAGGCGAAGGCAGCCCCUUGGGAAUGUACUGACGCUCAUGUGCGAAAGCGUGGGAAGCAAACAGGAUUAGAUACCCUGGUAGUCCACGCUGUAAACGCUGUCGAUUUGGGGAUUGGGCUUUAAGCUUGGUGCCCGAAGCUAACGUGAUAAAUCGACCGCCUGGGGAGUACGGCCGCAAGGUUAAAACUCAAAUGAAUUGACGGGGGCCCGCACAAGCGGUGGAGCAUGUGG
rnacentral:rRNA from 1 species